rnacentral:rRNA from 1 species
UACGCUGGCGGCACGCCUAACACAUGCAAGUCGAACGAAGUAGCAAUACUUAGUGGCAGACGGGUGAGUAACAUGUAGGUAUCUGCCCUUUGGCCUGGAAUAACACGAGGAAACUUGUGCUAAUACCGGAUAAGUCUUUACGGAGAAAGCUUUAUGCACCAUUGGAUGAGCCUGCACUUGAUUAGUUUGUUGGUAGGGUAAUGGCCUACCAAGACUGUGAUCAAUAGCUGAUUUGAGAGGAUGAUCAGCCACAUUGGGACUGAGACACGGCCCAAACUCCUACGGGAGGCAGCAGUGGGGAAUCUUGCACAAUGGAGGAAACUCUGAUGCAGCGAUGCCGCGUGAGUGAAGAAGGCCUUUGGGUUGUAAAGCUCUUUCGUCGGGGAAGAAAAUGACUGUACCCGAAUAAGAAGGUCCGGCUAACUU